CCGCGGGCAGCUGCCGGGUCCAGUGAGCGGUCUCCGCCCAGAGACUGGGGAGUCCCGCGGAGCCUUGUCCGAAACCGCCUGCGCCGCCGCAGCCCAAGCCAAGCUGCCCCAGCGCCUAUGAAUAAGAGAUUGUGGGUUAGUCCGAGAAUGAACAAAUAUACGAAGCCUUAUGUUGAGCAGACCACCAAUCUUGAAAAAUUCAGCCCUGUGAUUCUUGCUGAAAUUGAGGAGCUCUUUGAGAAGAAGUUCUCAUAUACAAAACCACCGAAUAGUGAAUGGAAGCUGCCAGAUUCCAGUGAUGUGUUUACCUGCAAUCACAAGGAAUUCAAUACACUCCUUGCUCUGAAGGACUCCAUGAAUGAAGUCAAAAACCAACUGAGUGAUAAGAAAUUGGAUGCAUGGCAUCAGCACACUUCCUUCACCAACAGAGCUGGGAUAAUCAUUCCUCGUGUGAAGAAAUCUGUAAAUGCUGAGUUGUGUACCCAGGCUUGGUGCAAGUUCCAUGAGAUUUUGUGCAGUUUUCCCCUUCUCCCAAAAGAAGCCCUUCAGAAUGGAGAACUCAAUUCUGUCCAUCUCUGUGAAGCACCUGGUGCUUUUAUAGCAAGUCUCAACCACUACAUAAAAUCUCAUCACAUUCCCUGCGAUUGGAACUGGGUAGCCAAUACCUUAAACCCAUAUCAUGAAGCAAAUGACACCCUUGUGAUGAUUAUGGAUGACCGACUUAUUGCAAAUACCUUGCCAUGGUGGUAUUUUGGCCCAGAUAAUACUGGGGAUGUGAUGACAUUGAAACAUCUAACUGGACUUCAGCACUUCAUAAGUAAUAUGACCACUGUUCACUUGGUAACUGCUGAUGGGAGUUUUGAUUGCCAAGGAAAUCCAGGUGAACAAGAAGCGCUUGUCUCACCUCUACAUUACUGUGAAGCAGUCACUGCUUUAAUGAUCCUUGGCAAUGGUGGCUCCUUUGUUUUGAAGAUGUUCACUUUAUUUGAACAUUGUUCUGUCAAUCUGCUUUUUCUGCUAAACUGUUCCUUCGAGGAGGUCUAUGUCUUUAAACCUGCCACUAGCAAAGCCGGGAACUCUGAGGUCUAUGUAGUUUGUCUUCAUUAUAUGGGCAGAGAGGCCAUUCAUCCUGUGCUGUCCAAGAUGAUGCAGAACUUUGGAACAGAAAUGGUUAACAAAGCGCUCUUUCCCCAACAUGUGAUUCCAGAAUCUUUUCUUAAAAUGCAUGAAGAAUGCUGUGCAUUCUUUCACAAGUACCAAAUAGAGACUAUAUCUGAGAACAUCCGACUCUUUGAGUGCAUUGGGGAAGCAGAACAAGUAAAGCUGAAUAACUUAAGGGACUGUGCAGUGGAAUUUUUCAUGCAAAAAUUUCACCUGAAACACAUUACAAGAAAUAACUGGCUAGUGAAGAAAUCUCAUGUAGGGUGCAGCAUGAAUGCAAAAUGGUUUGGACAGAGGAACGAAUAUUUUAGUACAUACAAUGAAAGAAAGAUGCUGGAAUCCCUGACAUGGGAAGAUAAGGUGGCCAAAGGCUAUCUUAAUCAUUGGGGUGAAGAGCACACUUUAAGUAAUGUUGGGAAAAGCUGCAUUUUGGAGGGGUCUUCCCGUAACCUUGAAUGUAAUUUAUGGUACAUCCUGGAGGGAAAGAGGCUGCCAAGAGUAAAAUGCUCUCCAUUCUGUGACGGUGAUGUCUUGAAGAAUCUCAAUGAAGCCAUUAAAGAAUCAUUAGUAGGCAGACUAAAAACUAGUUCCCUUUCCAGACGAACACAACAACCGUGUCAUUCUUGCAAUGUUCUUACUGAGGCACUGAUACUAUCUGAGUUGUCUAGCCUUACUAAGUACCAUCAGAAGGUACCAAAUGAAGGAUGCAGUGACCAAAUCAAGUGUCUUGUGGUGGGCUUUCCGUCUCUUUGUGACAUCAAAAGCCAGUCCAACAUGGAAGUUAGGCUCCUGGAGUCAGCCACACUCUUGACUUUCAGCUGUUCUUUGCUUCAUGACGGAGAGCCAAAAUAUCAGCAGCAUCUUUUAGACUGCCUUCUGCGUGCGAUUAAUCAGCUUCAGCUGGGAGAUGCUUUGAUUCUGCCUGUUCUUUCUUGUUUUACACGCUUCACAGCUGGCCUGAUUUUUGUGCUGCACGGCUGUUUCAGCUACAUCACAUUUGCUUGCCCCAUAUCCUCUGAACCUCUCGGGACCAGUGCUGUUCUAUUGUGUAUUGGCUAUCGAGGUCUUCCAAAUCCAGUUGUUGAGUACCUGCAGCACCUGAAUAAACUAAUGAGCUCUUUGUUCAGCUCAGACUCUCCACAGCAGGUUUUGCAGUUUGUCCCUAUGGAGAUGCUUUUGAAAGGCAUGCUGCUUGAGUUUUUAUGGGAUUUGAAUACUGCCAUCGCAAAGAGGCAGCUCCAUUUGAUUGUACAAGUUGAGCAGCAGCAAAUGUCGAGUAAUCUUUAAUUUUAGUGAUUCUAGGAUUGAAUUGGUAAAUGUUUCAAAGAAGAUUCACUUCACUGGCUGUUUAAAGUUCUUAAUUUUUUAUUUUUCUUUUGCUCGUGUGAAUAUCACUUCAUUUUAAAACAGUGGGAAUUUAUUUUAAUGUUGGUAUCCAGUUUUGGACUGACAGUUCUACAGUACUGCCUUAUGUUAUUAGGUGUUGCUAUCUAUACAAUCCUGUAAUCAUGGAGUUUAUGAAGCAAAAUGAAGGACUGAAAUUCUGGAGAAAGGGGAGUUCUUCUCAACUUUGCUUUCUGAAACUACGCAGAAGAGGAUCUGUUUGACUCUGGCUUCCCCUAGACUUCUCAAAUAGGUCACUGUUCAUUUAAACUUAAUUUAAAUUAACUUCCUGUAGUUGCUCUGUGGAGAUGAAGAGUGACAGAAUGCAAGGCUGUCACAGGCAAGCAAAACGGUUCAGCAGAUCCUUGGGAUCAAGAGACUAGAGGCAGCAAAAGCCUCUGCAGUAAGUGAUUCUGAAAGCUUAGGAAACUUUUUAAGAGGACCUGAGGGGCCAAAAAGGAGGCAACAUUGAGGAACAGAAGAAAAUGAAGGGGAAAGGAACAGAGACCUGUAAUGUGAAAAAGGAAAGGAGGAAAGGAUAUAUGAGAGUAUAAUGGAUCUGAGAGGACAGCAUGGUAAAAAACUUCAGGAACAGUACCAUAAAUUCAGUCUUCAUAAAUAAUCCUUCUGUUUCACUAUAUUUGGGAGAAUGAACAAAAUAGAAGUAUCGCUGUCCAUCAAAAAGCAGUGUUCCCUCUCCCUGUCCCCUUUGUAAUUGUGGGAUUAGAGGGUUACUUUAACCUGUUUGUAUCCUGCUGUAGCCAACCAUCUAGGAAAGGCCCUCUUCUGAAGCAGGAGCACAUACCCAUGUAUCUGGAAGUAUUGUAGAUGUAUGUUUACAUUGUCACAAUCUAUAUUUUGGAGUAUUGAAAAGUCAAAAGGGCCCCCAUAUAAUUGGUCAACCCAAAUCUAGACAUCAGUUCUUUCUGGGCUUAACGGAACAUCUGUAACUUUAGAAAUCUGACUUCUGUCUUGUGUUUGUUUUUUUUAAACCUACUGUUGCUACAAGUAAAUCCCAGAGAUGACUAUACCUUUAGAACAAAUAGAAAAAACGUUUUUCUCUCUUUUUUUUGUCAAUUGUCUGCUUUUUUCCUUUGACGGCAUUCUGUCAACUCACUGUUUUCCUUCCAGCAUCAGUCAGUAUUCUCCACUUGUAUGGGCCUUUCUCAUAGCAGUGGUGGGAGAUGAGCUCCUAGUGAUUGUUAGAUGAAAGGACAGGGCUGUCAGUCUCUGGUUUAAUUUGUAAAGAUUUUGUACUUGAUUUGGCUCUUGCCUAAGAGCCUAUUUGGCUAUUGAUUUCAAAAAGUUUAACACUGCUUUGGAAUAAGAGUAGGUGAAAUUUAAAUCAAGUAUCUACCCAAUGAAAGGACUCUGUUUAGUUGAGUGCAUUAAGGUUUGAAGACUUGCCACUUUUUAUUUGUAUUUUAAAUUAUUGCAUUUAACUUCCUAUGUGUAUGUCUAUAUGUAUACACGCGUGCAUAUACCUGUGCAUGUUCAAAUGAAGUUAUAUAAAAAGCCUGCUGGUUUUCCAAUUUGAUUUCGAUAAGGCAUAAUGAGAUUUACUGUAUGAAAUCUUGUCCUCUGCUAAAAUUAUACUAAUUGCUGUCUAUUCAACUUAAUUUAAGUUAGAUAAGUCAAGUUACUAGUAGAAUAAAUAGACUGUGGUAGAAUUACUGGACAUUAGAAAAGCAAUUUGGGACUUAAAGGAAAGGGACUUUGGUAUAAGCUAUCUGAAUAGCUUAUACAGAAGGAACAGAAAAGUCUUAUGUUCUUGUUGUUAAACUGAGAUCUUGAGCUAGGGUGUAGAAUAUUCUUAAAUACUGAUUCGUUGAGAUGCACAGCGUGACCAUAACGCUCUAGCCUAUGGGGCGGAAGUCUUUUUACCUUAUUUUAUAACGUUUCAUUUGAUAUUUUAGUCCUUGCAUUUGGGAAUUAUUUUCAGCACCUUAUUUUGGAAAAAUAAACUUAGUGUAAUGUUUGUUUCUGUUGCUAUUUGUAUUUGGGUGCCACUAAAAUACGUCAGUGUGGCUAUUCAUGUAGGCCGACAAAUUGUAGGAGGUACUUGUUUUCUGGACACGACAGCUUUGCAGAUUUUCUACUUGCAUAUGGAAAGUAACCUUUUUUUCUUUACAAUGGACAUAUGAACUAUAAUUAGUUUUUUUUUUUCCUCCUAAUAUCUUCAAUCACUGGUGUAAACGGUGGGUGAAAAGAUUUUUGUGCCUGAAUUGUUAAAGUGUCAUGACAGUAUUACAAGACUGAGAUCAGGGAAAACAUUUUCUUGGUUGUCUUGCUGAAAAGUUGGUUUUGUUUCUUCCUUUUAAACUUCAGCUCAGCUGGCAUGAACAGGAUGAAAUAAACAUACAGGCUCAAAUGGAGUUGCAUCUAUUUAUAUCAGAAGUGAAUUCAGCCCAUGAUUGCUUAUCAGUAACUGUUUAUUAUACAGUAAUUUGGAUUGCUGUGUAAUUCUCCUCCAGUUACACAAAUGUUGGCAAUUUGAAAUUUAUUCUGAACUUUAAAAGUAUACCAACUUCGUGUGGAAAUUCUGGAUGGUUACAGAGACAACUGGUUUGUAACAAAGCAAAAUUUGCUGUUACAGUAACUGUCUCGCUAAGCAGUCUUUCCAUCCAUCUGUACAGGUUGAUUAAACUUGCUCGCUGGGCCACCAUCUAGUAGAUUUGCCCAACCUUGCUUGAUAAAGAUUCCUUGAGAAGUGGGUUCUGUGGGAUUUACUGCCUUGAGUGACCAUUUUGUGUGUAUGUGUGCAUGUGUUAAUGCUGCUGAGAUAUUUGCAAUCCUACAUCCUGCUGUUUGCUUUAUAACUAAGUGGAUGUGUUUGUUUUUUGUUUGGGGGUGAAGUAUUUAUGGGUAUAAAGAUUAAGGAAUGCUGGCUGAAGCUGGCUACUGCAUUUCUCUGUUGAUCGCUGUAAAUUUGUGCAUGUAAAAAGAUACUGUUUUUGUUUUGUUUUGUUUUUUUAAGGGGCAGGAUGACACUUGUGUGUUUGGAAAUAAAAUCUUAUUUUUCUCUGACCAUUC